AGCAGCCGCGGUAAUUCCAGCUCCAAUAGCGUAUAUUAAAGUUGUUGCAGUUAAAAAGCUCGUAGUUGAAUUUCGGGAUUUAUCCGUCGGUCGGGCUUUUGGGUCUGUACUGGCGUGAUGGAUUCCUACCUUCUGAAUAACCGGCAUGUCAUUAAUUUGGUGCGCCGGGGAAGCAGGACUGUUACCUUGAAAAAUUAGAGUGCUUAAAGCAGGCUAUCGCCUGAAUACAUUAGCAUGGAAUAAUGAAAUAGGACGGCAUGGUUCUAUUUUGUUGGUUUCUAGGAUCACCGUAAUGAUUAAUAGGGAUAGUUGGGGGCAUUAGUAUUCAAUUGUCAGAGGUGAAAUUCUUGGAUUUAUUGAAGACUAACUUCUGCGAAAGCAUUUGCCAAGGAUGUUUUCAUUAAUCAAGAACGAAAGUUAGGGGAUCGAAGACGAUCAGAUACCGUCGUA
rnacentral:rRNA from 1 species